UACGGGGGGGGCAAGCGUUGUUCGGAAUUAUUGGGCGUAAAGAGCUCGUAGGCGGUUUGUCGCGUCUGCCGUGAAAGUCCGGGGCUCAACUCCGGAUCUGCGGUGGGUACGGGCAGACUAGAGUGUGGUAGGGGAGACUGGAAUUCCUGGUGUAGCGGUGAAAUGCGCAGAUAUCAGGAAGAACACCAAUGGCGAAAGCAGCUCUCUGGGACGGUACUGACGCUGAGACGGCGAAAGCGUGGGGAGCGGACAGG
rnacentral:rRNA from 1 species